UAAGGGUUCGAUUCCGGAGAAGGGGCCUGAGAAAUGGCCACUACGUCUAAGGAUGGCAGCAGGCGCGCAAAUUACCCACUCUCGGUUCGAGGAGGUAGUGACGAAAAAUAACAAGGCCGUUCUCUAUGAGGCCGGCCAUUGGAAUGGGUACAACUUAAACCCUUUAACGAGUAUCAAUGAGAGGGCAAGUCUGGUGCCAGCAGCCGCGGUAAUUCCAGCUCUCAAAAUGCAUAGAACCAUUGCUGCGGUUAAAAAGCUCGUAGUUGGAUCUGUGCCGGCGACGUGGUCCGCCCUUACGGGAGGUACUUCGCUCGUCGGCUUUGGGCCGGUCUUCGGUCGGUCGCCUUUACUGGCGGCCGCUCGUGGCUGGCUGGUUUACUUUGAGCAAAUCAGAGUGCUCAGCACAGGCGUCUCGCCGGAAUGUUCGUGCAUGGAAUAAUAGAAAAGGAUUUCGGUCCUCUUUUAUUGGUUUUGUGGACUGAGAUAAUGGUUAACAGAGACGGACGGGGGCAUUCGUAUUGCUGCGUGAGAGGUGAAAUUCUUGGACCGCAGCAGGACGGACUACAGCGAAAGCAUUUGCCAAGCACGUCUUCAUUAAUCAAGAACGAAAGUCAGAGGUUCGAAGGCGAUCAGAUACCGCCCUAGU
rnacentral:rRNA from 1 species